GACGAACGCUGGCGGCGUGCUUUACACAUGCAAGUCGAACGGUGAAGGUGGAGCUUGCUCCGCCGGAUCAGUGGCGAACGGGUGAGUAACACGUGGGCAACCUGCCCCUAACUUUGGGAUAACUACUCGAAAGAGUAGCUAAUACCGGAUAUGAAGUCUGUAGGCAUCUACGGAUUUGUAAAGUUUUUCGGUUAGGGAUGGGCCCGCGGCCUAUCAGCUUGUUGGUGAGGUAGUGGCUCACCAAGGCGACGACGGGUAGCCGGCCUGAGAGGGCGACCGGCCACACUGGGACUGAGACACGGCCCAGACUCCUACGGGAGGCAGCAGUGGGGAAUAUUGCGCAAUGGGCGAAAGCCUGACGCAGCAACGCCGCGUGCGGGAUGAAGGCCUUCGGGUUGUAAACCGCUUUCAGCAGGGAAGAAGCGAAAGUGACGGUACCUGCAGAAGAAGCACCGGCUAACUACGUGCCAGCAGCCGCGGUAA
rnacentral:rRNA from 1 species